rnacentral:tRNA from 1 species
UAGAUCAGUUGGUAGAGCGCUCCACUGGAAAUGGAGAGGCUCCUGGUUCGAUACCAGG